rnacentral:rRNA from 1 species
UACAGAGGUCCCGAGCGUUGUUCGGAUUCACUGGGCGUAAAGGGUGCGUAGGUGGUGAGGUAAGUCGGAUGUGAAAUCUCCGAGCUCAACUCGGAAAUGGCAUUGGAAACUACCUUGCUCGAGGGUUGGAGGGGGGGACUGGAAUGCUUGGUGUAGCAGUGAAAUGCGUAGAUAUCAAGCGGAACACCAGUGGCGAAGGCGAGUCCCUGGACAACUCCUGACACUGAGGCACGAAAGCUAGGGGGAGCAAACAGG